rnacentral:lncRNA from 1 species
CCUUCGGGCACACUCUUUUUUAUUAUUAUUUAAAGGCAUUCGGCUCUUUCAGCCGACCAGUUACUGUGUACUCUUCCAUUCGACUCUUCUGUCGACAUUGAUUCCUGCACAGUUCAUACAUUCGGCUCAUCCCAGCAGAACCGAAUCUACUAUAGAGGUUUUUGAGCCCGGCUGAUCCGAUCCCUCAUCAGCCGAAUCGCUUGAUUCAGUCGAAGGGCGCAAAUUUUGAGGGUCACUAUCCGCAGCCGUUCCUUAUCCCGACGCGCUUCCCGAGAAGGAUCUUUGACCGGAUCAAGGGUCGGGAAAUUCGGCUUCCAACAAUACCGUUCUCUACAAGUUUAAGCUUUUAUAGAGUACAAUGGUUGUUUCACAUAUUUUAUAUGAUAUCAGAGCAGAAAGUCUUAAGUUUGAGUCAUGCUAGGUUCAUAACAUUAUUAAUUUUCUCCCACUUAAUUUAAAUCCACGUAAUGGGCCUACAAAAGAUCUCAAGCCAAAAAAUGAGGGGAAAGUAUUAAAUAUAAAAAACAAAACAAAAGGUCUCAAGCCAAAACAUGAGGGGGGAGUGACCAUUCUUUAUCAGCUUAAGCUUAAAGUACAAUGAUUAUUUCACAUAUUUCACAAUUAAUAUAUUCCCCAUAUUUAGUUUUGUGAGUUACUACAAAAAAACUCAAU